rnacentral:snoRNA from 10 species
AAUGAAUGAUGACAAAAUGUUUCAGUCCCAAAUGAUACAUACUGAUUAUACCAUUAUAUUUAUCCUGACAUU